GUGAGGAAUAUUGGUCAAUGGGCGCAAGCCUGAACCAGCCAUCCCGCGUGCAGGAAGACGGCGCUAUGCGUUGUAAACUGCUUUUCCAGGGAGAGAAACUUGCGCACGUGUUGCGCAAUUGACGGUACCCUGGGAAUAAGCAUCGGCUAACUCCGUGCCAGCAGCCGCGGUAAUACGGAGGAUGCGAGCGUUAUCCGGAUUCAUUGGGUUUAAAGGGUGCGUAGGCGGACUAUUAAGUCAGUGGUGAAAUCCUGCAGCUUAACUGCAGAACUGCCAUUGAUACUGAUAGACUUGAGUUUGGUUAAGGUAGGCGGAAUGUGUAAUGUAGCGGUGAAAUGCUUAGAUAUUACACAGAACACCAAUUGCGUAGGCAGCUUACUGAGCCGACACUGACGCUGAGGCACGAAAGCGUGGGGAUCGAACAGGAUUAGAAACCCUUGUAGUCC
rnacentral:rRNA from 1 species